rnacentral:rRNA from 1 species
CCUACGGGUGGCAGCAGUGAGGAAUAUUGGUCAAUGGACGGAAGUCUGAACCAGCCAUGCCGCGUGCAGGAAGACGGCUCUAUGAGUUGUAAACUGCUUUUGUACAAGGGUAAACCUGAAUACGUGUAUUCAGCUGAAAGUACUGUAAGAAUAAGGAUCGGAUAACUCCGUGCCAGCAGCCGAGGUAAUACGGAGGAUCCAAGCGUUAUCCGGAUUUAUUGGGUUUAAAGGGUGCGUAGGCGGAUUGAUAAGUUAGAGGUGAAAUGUCCGGGCUUAACUCGGGAACUGCCUCUAAUACUGUUGGUCUAGAGAGUAGAUGCGGUAGGCGGAAUGUAUGGUGUAGCGGUGAAAUGCUUAGAGAUCAUACAGAACACCGAUUGCGAAGGCAGCUUACCAAUCUAUAUCUGACGUUGAGGCACGAAAGCGUGGGGAGCAAACAGGAUUAGAUACCCGUGUAGUC